rnacentral:lncRNA from 1 species
UGUUCUCCAUUGGAGAAAGAAAAAGAGAUUAUGUAAGAGUGAAAGAAAAUGUUGUGUUUAUGCAAUGAAUAUUGAUGAAGAGUUUUGGACAAUUUAUUUAUAAUGUUGGAAGAUUAGCAUGAAAGUGUGGUUUUUACACACAGAAUGAAUCACAAUGGUUAUCCUUUUGGUUUUCAGAUAUAACUCGGGUCGGUGUGACUUUGUUAUAUUUUGAAA